AGUGCAAAAUUCCCUGUGCUGUCCCUAUCCAUGUCCUGAAGUCUGGCCUGGAAGGACCAGCCAUGCAGUCCUUGGCCUUGCUGUAGAGACCAUGGUAGAGGAAGCCCCUCAGUGGCGCUGUUUUGUGUGAUGGAGACACCUGCCCCAUCUGGAGGGGGACCUUUCUCACAGAGACCAGUGAAAUGCAGACAUGAGAGGGUUCCUGCCACAAUAAUCUGUCUCUGAAGGGGUAUGCAGCAAGGAGCAGAUUCCCAGCAAAGGAAGUUCUGCUCCCUCUCUCAUGGGGCUGGAAUCACUUCAUUUCCCAGUGCAUCCUCACUCAGACAUGUGCAUGAAUCUUAAUUCCUAGUUAAUCAGCAGGCUGCUUGGGCAAAGGAAGGAACUCACAUCAUGGGCUGAUGAGCCAAACUUCUCGUCGAGGACUGGAGGCCCUGACAGGCGUCCUAAUCACUAGUUUGGCUUUUGCCUGGAUGCGCUGCAAUGCUCCUCUCCAUGGAAGAGCCGCAU